UACGUAGGGUGCAAGCGUUGUCCGGAUUUAUUGGGCGUAAAGAGCUCGUAGGCGGUUUGACACGUCGGAUGUGAAAACUCGGAGCUUAACUCCGAGCCUGCAUUCGAUACGGUCUAACUAGAGUGUGGUAGGGGAAACUGGAAUUCCUGGUGUAGCGGUGAAAUGCGCAGAUAUCAGGAGGAACACCAAUGGCGAAGGCAGGUUUCUGGGCCACCACUGACGCUGAGGAGCGAAAGCGUGGGGAGCGAACAGG
rnacentral:rRNA from 1 species